GUGAUGGUAUUUGGAGGUGAGGCCUUUGGGAGAUAAUUGGGCUUAAAUGAGGUCAGGAGAGGGCAGGCCUUCAUGAUGGGCUUAAUGUCCUUGUAAGGAGAGACAUCAGAGAGUUUGCUGUCUCUCUCUCUCCCUGCCAUGUGAGUACCUCGUGAGAAGUCAGCCAUCACAAGCCAGGAAAACGGCUCUCACCAGAACUCAACCAUGCUGGCACCCUGAUCUCAGACAUUCAGCCUCCAAAACUUGUAUAAAUAGAACCUCAGAAGAUGGUUAAGCUGAAGAGAGAGCCUUAAGAGGACAGCAUUCCAGCGGGAUCAGUUAACAGUUUGCUAUGGAACUGGUGUGGUAAUCUGCUGGGGGCUGCAAUUCUGGUGUGGGUAAGUGGGGGCUGGGACCACAGUUGGUACCAGUGACCCAGGAUGCACAGGACAGUUAUGUGGGUACUGCCAUGGCCAUCGUCUGCCAAGGCCCAGGAACUGUCUAGGGAGCACAGCCAUGGGGAAGAGGCUGCGGACCUUCAGCAGUUCCCACCUGCUUGGCCAGAACCGGCAUCCCAGCUCCUGAUGUAUUUUGUUGGGUGUCCAGCUUUAAUAUGAAGACACCAUGUGUCCAUAUGAAGACACUCUAUAUCCAGUACCUUCUCUAUGGCUACCAAAUGACCUACUUUUUCUGUAUUUCACUACUCAGAUUCCUAGAACAGGCAUUCUGUUCUGGAUAAGCAUUUACUGGCCAGGCCAUAUUGUAGUCCAAUGACAAGACUAUGGAUUGGCCAGCCAUAGGACAGGUCUUUGCCCCAAACUUGGGUGGUAAUUAAGGGACUAUCCCUUUAGCAGGGAGAAUGGGUGGAUAUCUUACUUUUGCUGGGGUUGUUGGUAUAACUGGCACAAUGACUGAUAUGUCUGAUGGUUCCUGGGAGAUUGUUAUGGUUGGAUUUGAUCUACAUGCCAUCCUGUUUUCUGAUUACAUUUCUCCACCAUCACUGGGGCACAGGUGGAAAUAGGGCAAAGGCCUUUAUUUGAGAACACAUCUUCUGAAUGUCCAUUCAGUGAAACUCAGAGACCGUCUCUAGCAAAUCACGGGCAAGAAUGAACUCUUCUCAGCUUGCUGUUCUAACUUACUUCAACUGGGCAAGAAUUUGACUUCCACAUGCAAAUCAGUGGGUCUUUGUAACUGACACUUUAAUGCAUUCUGCACCACAACGGUGCCACCAUGUACUACUUCUGGCUUACUUUGGAGUUCACACAAACUUUUUUCUUGGUCUGGAUCUCAUCUUGCAAAGAGACAUUCCCCAUGUCUGCAAGAUCUAAUUAUAUCUAUUUGCGUAAGUCAGACUAAAACAAAUACUGAUAGGCUUAUCAUGAGUUCAUUCAUUAUGUCUGGGAUUCAGGAGACUAUAAAGAAACAUGAAUAAUGGGAGUAGAAACAGUAGUAAAAAUAAUAGUAAAAAUUAGUAGGAAUGGUAAAAGAUGUAGUUAAUGUUUACUGAAUGCCUAACUCUGACAUUAUGCUAGUUUCUUUAUGUGCAAUAACUUCCUUUUACAGAAGAAGAAAUUAAAACUCAGAGAGGCAAAAUAACCUCUCCCAGAGCUCACACAGUCCCAGUGGUGGAGCUGGGAAAUACAUUUUUAUUUAAAGUUUAGCAGAACUCACCAUCUGGGUGUGUUUUUUUAAGAGGGGAAGUUUGUGAAUAUCAUUUCAAUUUCCCACUUUCCAUUGGAUAGAUUGAGUUUUCUUCUCUGUGCUUAAA